rnacentral:lncRNA from 1 species
CCCGCCCGCCGCCAGUUCGGCGCGUCAGUCGGCGAAGAGUCCAGUGGUGGGUGCGGAUCUUGAGAUCGUUCCUGCGGCCUCCUCUUCCUCCCCGUUCCCCUCACCCCUACCCCACACCCUUUUCCUUCUUCCCAGCCCCGUCACCUUCCCGUCCCCCACACUCAAGACAAGAAUGCCCUGCCCGGAACAACCUAGCAGCGCCUAGAUGGCUUUGGUCACGGUCCAGCGGUCGCCUACCCCCAGCACCACCUCCAGCCCCUGCGCUUCGAGCUCUCAUUUGGAAGACAGUGAAUCAGCAGUGAUACUUUGCUGUGAAUGUGAAGAAUCAGAAAUCUUUAGUGAUUUCAAUGGAUCGAACUCGGGACCUUGA